UAUGUUCCAAGCUCUGCUAAUGGGGUAGGAACCGAAGCUCCUCUCGGGGUUACACAAGCUCUCCUACCCAACUCCUAUUCCGUCACGUCCUCGUCGUACAGAGUGGUAACUUUCCCCACCACAUAUCCAAGCUUGGNNNN
rnacentral:ribozyme from 1 species